rnacentral:rRNA from 1 species
UACGGAGGGAGCUAGCGUUGUUCGGAAUUACUGGGCGUAAAGGCGCGCGUAGGCGGCUUUGUAAGUUAGAGGUGAAAGCCCGGGGCUCAACCCCGGAAACUUGGCCUUUAAGACUGCAAUCGCUUGAAUCCGGGAGAGGUGAGUGGAAUUCCGGAGUGUAGAGGUGAAAUUCGUAGAUAUUCGGAAGAACACCAAGUGGC